rnacentral:misc_RNA from 2 species
AACGCAUCUUGCGCUCCUUGGUAUUCCGAGGAGCAUGCCUGUUUGAGUGUCAUUCAAGUAUCUCAAAAGUUCUUAUGCACUAUGCAAGGAACUUUUGGAUAUUGGGAGUUGCUGGUCACUGAUAAAGUGGUUGGCUCUUCUGAAAAGCAUUAGUUGAGGAGCUCCUUGCACUCUAUUGGUGUGAUAGACUAUCUAUGCCAGGAGAAGCAUUAUGAAGCCUCUGCUGUCUAACAGUCCUAAUUGGACAAUAUGAUAAAAUUGACCUCAAAUCAGGUAGGACUACCCGCUGAACUUAA